GACGAACGCUGGCGGCGUGCUUAACACAUGCAAGUCGAACGGUGAAGCGCUUGCCUUUUUGGUGGGUGUGGAUGAGUGGCGAACGGGUGAGUAACACGUGAGUAACCUGCCCUCUUCUUCUGGAUAACCUCAUGAAAGUGGGGCUAAUACGGGGUAUUCCGGGUCUGUCGCAUGGCGGGUUUGGGAAAGAUUGCGCCUUUGGGUGUUUUCGGUGGGGGAUGGGCUCGCGGCCUAUCAGCUUGUUGGUGGGGUGAUGGCCUACCAAGGCGGUGACGGGUAGCCGGCCUGAGAGGGUGGACGGCCACACUGGGACUGAGACACGGCCCAGACUCCUGCGGGAGGCAGCAGUGGGGAAGAUUGCACAAUGGGCGCAAGCCGGAUGCAGCGACGCCGCGUGAGGGAUGGAGGCCUUCGGGUUGUGAACCUCUUUCGCCAGUGAAGCAGGCCUGCUCCUGUGUGGGUGGGUUGACGGUAGCUGGAUAAGAAGCGCCGGCUAACUACGUG
rnacentral:rRNA from 1 species